rfam:Candida tenuis ATCC 10573 unplaced genomic scaffold CANTEscaffold_00021, whole genome shotgun sequence.
UCCGAUGUAGUGUAACGGCUAGCACGGUUGUCUUUCACACAGCAGACCCGGGUUCGACUCCCGGCAUCGGAA